AUGGCCUCUCCAUCUUCAUUCGAUUUCGUCUACUCUACUGUAUUGUCUUCUUCAAUUUUAAUUGUUCUCCCGUUCGUCUUUCUCAUCUCAGCAUACAGAAACAGAAUGCCAAUGCGGAAACGGAAAGCUAAUACAUGGUGGAACGACAAUGAUAUGAAGAAUUUGAAGCAACGAGUCUGGCCUAUCAGAGACCUACCCGAUGUGUCUUCAAGCUUGCGGCCGGAGACACUCUGA